rnacentral:rRNA from 1 species
UGGGGAAUAUUGGACAAUGGGGGCAACCCUGAUCCAGCAAUGCCGCGUGAGUGAUGAAGGCCUUAGGGUUGUAAAGCUCUUUCGGCGGGGACGAUGAUGACGGUACCCGCAGAAGAAGCCCCGGCUAACUUCGUGCCAGCAGCCGCGGUAAUACGAAGGGGGCGAGCGUUGUUCGGAAUUACUGGGCGUAAAGGGCGCGUAGGCGGCGCCGGAAGUCAGAUGUGAAAGCCCCGGGCUCAACCUGGGAACUGCAUUUGAUACUCUGGUGCUGGAGUUCGGGAGAGGAGAGUGGAAUUCCCAGUGUAGAGGUGAAAUUCGUAGAUAUUGGGAAGAACACCGGUGGCGAAGGCGGCUCUCUGGACCGAAACUGACGCUGAGGCGCGAAAGCGUGGGGAGCAAACAGGAUUAGAUACCCCCGUAGUCC